GGGAGCCGGGCCUCUGCAGGGUGGCGGUGGCGUACAGCUCCUGGGAGUGCUUGCUGUACUGCUCGGCAGCGUGAACCAGCCGCUUGGUGGGCGACAGAGUGGCGAUUUACAUGAAACCUUAGAAAGUACUGCAAAUCCCGUGAGCUGCAGUUCGAGACUGGCCAGAGCCUCGCCCCAACGCGCACCUCUCAACGAGGCUUCUUGAGCCAGAACUUCCUUUAAAAUGCAAAUAGUGCAUUCUGUGACUCAGCUCGGAGUUGCAGUGAAUGCCAACGGCAAUGCUGCUUCACAUUUAAAGAGAAACGUAGGAUUUUUUUAGUCCCGUCCUACAGGGAAAAAAACAAAACAACAACCAAAAGCAAACAACCAAGUAAAACAAAAUCACCGCAUUCCAGCAAUGAAACUUGGAUACCCAACCGAGGAUUUUGGUGAGGAACUGAGGACGAGACAAAAAAGAAAAUAAUCAGAAGAAUGCAGGUAUGAAGCUCAAAAUGCCACAAACAUGCUUCUUAUGCUUCUUUCAGUGUACACCUGCUGGAGAUGAUUCCAUCCUUCGCUUUUUUUUUUUUUUUUUUUUUUUUUUUUUUUUUUUUUUUUUUUUUUUU